rnacentral:rRNA from 1 species
CCUACGGGGGGCAGCAGUGGGGAAUAUUGCACAAUGGGCGCAAGCCUGAUGCAGCCAUGCCGCGUGUGUGAAGAAGGCCUUCGGGUUGUAAAGCACUUUCAGCGGGGAGGAAGGCGGUGAGGUUAAUAACCUCAUCGAUUGACGUUACCCGCAGAAGAAGCACCGGCUAACUCCGUGCCAGCAGCCGCGGUAAUACGGAGGGUGCAAGCGUUAAUCGGAAUUACCGGGCGUAAAGCGCACGCAGGCGGUCUGUCAAGUCGGAUGUGAAAUCCUCGGGCUCAACCUGGGAACUGCAUUCGAAACUGGCAGGCUAGAGUCUUGUAGAGGGGGGUAGAAUUCCAGGUGUAGCGGUGAAAUGCGUAGAGAUCUGGAGGAAUACCGGUGGCGAAGGCGGCCCCCUGGACAAAGACUGACGCUCAGGUGCGAAAGCGUGGGGAGCAAACAGGAUUAGAUACCCCAGUAGUC